rnacentral:rRNA from 1 species
AGAGUUUGAUCCUGGCUCAGAACGAACGCUGGCGGCAUGCCUAACACAUGCAAGUCGAACGCGUGGAGCGAUCCACGCGUGGCGCACGGGUGAGUAACGCGUGGGAACCUGCCCUUGAGUGGGGGAUAACCCGGCGAAAGCCGGGCUAAUACCGCAUACGCCCCAUGAGAGAUCAUGGGGGAAAGAUUUAUCGCUCGAGG